rnacentral:rRNA from 1 species
GGGGAAUUUUGCGCAAUGGGGGAAACCCUGACGCAGCAACGCCGCGUGAGUGAUGAAGGCCUUCGGGUCGUAAAGCUCUGUCAGAGGGGAAGAAAUGCAGGGGUGCUAAUAUCAUCUUUGCUUGACGGUACCCUCAAAGGAAGCACCGGCUAACUCCGUGCCAGCAGCCGCGGUAAUACGGAGGGUGCGAGCGUUGUUCGGAAUUAUUGGGCGUAAAGCGCGUGUAGGCGGUUUGGUAAGUCUGAUGUGAAAGCCCCGGGCUCAACCUGGGAGGUGCAUUGGAAACUGUCAGACUUGAAUACGGGAGAGGGUAGUGGAAUUCCUAGUGUAGGAGUGAAAUCCGUAGAUAUUAGGAGGAACACCGGUGGCGAAGGCGGCUACCUGGACCGAUAUUGACGCUGAGACGCGAAAGCGUGGGGAGCAAACAG